CCUACGGGUGGCAGCAGUGAGGAAUAUUGGUCAAUGGGCGCGAGCCUGAACCAGCCAAGUAGCGUGAAGGAUGACUGCCCUACGGGUUGUAAACCUCUUUUAUAAAGGAAUAAAGUGAGGCACGUGUGCCUUUUUGUAUGUACUUUAUGAUUAAGGAUCGGCUAACUCCGUGCCAGCAGCCGCGGUAAUACGGAGGAGCCGAGCGUUAUCCGGAUUUAUUGGGUUUAAAGGGAGCGUAGAUGGGUUGUUAAGUCAGUUGUGAAAGUUUGCGGCUCAACCGUAAAAUUGCAAUUGAUACUGGAAGCCUUGAGUACAGUUGAGGUAGGCGGAAUUCGUGGUGUAGCGGUGAAAUGCUUAGAUAGCACGAAGAACUCCGAUUGCGAAGGCAGCUUACUAAACUGCCACUGACAUUGAUGCUCGAAAGUGUGGGUAUCAAACAGGAUUAGAUACCCGAGUAGUC
rnacentral:rRNA from 1 species